GCCGGGAUAGAUCAGUUGGUAGAGCAGAGGAUUGAAA
rnacentral:tRNA from 2 species